rnacentral:rRNA from 1 species
CUUCCGAUCUGCGGCACGCCUAACACAUGCAAGUCGAACGAAGUAGCAAUACUUAGUGGCAGACGGGUGAGUAACAUGUGGGUAUCUACCCUUUGGCCUGGAAUAACACGAGGAAACUUGUGCUAAUACCGGAUAAGUCUUUACGGAGAAAGCUUUAUGCACCAUUGGAUGAGCCCGCACUUGAUUAGUUUGUUGGUAGGGUAAUGGCCUACCAAGACUAUGAUCAAUAGCUGAUUUGAGAGGAUGAUCAGCCACAUUGGGACUGAGACACGGCCCAAACUCCUACGGGAGGCAGCAGUGGGGAAUCUUGCACAAUGGAGGAAACUCUGAUGCAGCGAUGCCGCGUGAGUGAAGAAGGCCUUUGGGUUGUAAAGCUCUUUCGUCGGGGAAGAAAAUGACUGUACCCGAAUAAGAAGGUCCGGCUAACUUCGUGCCAGCAGCCGCGGUAAUACGAAGGGACCUAGCGUAGUUCGGAAUUACUGGGCUUAAAGAGUUCGUAGGUGGUUGAAAAAGUUGGUGGUGAAAUCCCAGAGCUUAACUCUGGAACUGCCAUCAAAACUUUUCAGCUAGAGUAUGAUAGAGGAAAGCAGAAUUUCUAGUGUAGAGGUGAAAUUCGUAGAUAUUAGAAAGAAUACCAAUUGCGAAGGCAGCUUUCUGGAUCAUUACUGACACUGAGGAACGAAAGCAUGGGUAGCGAAGAGGAUUAGAUACCCUCGUAGUCCAUGCCGUAAACGAUGUGUGUUAGACGUUGGAAAUUUAUUUUCAGUGUCGCAGGGAAACCGAUAAACACACCGCCUGGGGAGUACGACCGCAAGGUUAAAACUCAAAUGAAUUGACGGGGACCCGCACAAGUAGUGGAGCAUGUGGUUUAAUUCGAAGAUACGCGCAGAACCUUACCAACACUUGACAUGUUCGUCGCGACUCUAAGAGAUUAGAGUUUUCGGUUCGGCCGGACGAAACACAGGUGCUGCAUGGCUGUCGUCAGCUCGUGUCGUGAGAUGUUGGGUUAAGUC